CCUACGGGAGGCAGCAGUGGGGAAUAUUGGGCAAUGGGCGCAAGCCUGACCCAGCAACGCCGCGUGAAGGAAGAAGGCUUUCGGGUUGUAAACUUCUUUUCUCAGGGACGAAGAAAGUGACGGUACCUGAGGAAUGAGCCACUGCUAACUACGUGCCAGCAGCCGCGGUAAUACGUAGGUGGCAAGCGUUAUCCGGAUUUACUGGGUUUAAGGGUCGAGUAGGCGGGGAAGUAAGUCAGAUGUGAAAACCACGGGCUCAACCUGUGGCCUGCCUCUGAAACUGUUUUUCUUGAGUACUGGAGAGGCAGACGGAAUUCCUAGUGUAGCGGUGAAAUGCGUAGAUAUUAGGAGGAACACCAGUGGCGAAGGCGGUUUGCUGGACAGCAACUGACGCUGAGGCGCGAAAGCGUGGGGAGCAAACAGGAUUAGAUACCCGGGUAGUC
rnacentral:rRNA from 1 species